GCCACAUAUCCUUCUUAUCCUUUUUCACCAUACAUAGUAUCAAUCCUCUGCUGCUUUGAAUCCUUACUGAAAAAAAUAUGUGGAUCCAAAUCAUAGAUGGUGGCUCCUGCUAGAAUAUCACUGGAGGACCUUCUCCUACUGCCAAAAGCUUCCAACAAAGAUGAUAUGCUGUGUCUGCUCCCUCUACUACCGGGCUCUCUGACUGAGAUAGUCCUGAACUCGAAUUUUCCUCCACCGAUCGCUGAUCCAAACCCCGAUUCAUAGCAUGAUGGUCCAAAUCACUCUCUAUACCUUGCCAUCUCCUCCUACCAGUACUAAUCAGCCAAGCUCGUCUGAAUGGCAACCUCAAUCUGUGCCUCAUCAUCUAGAGUGGAAGCCUCCUCUAACUCUCUAGAGUGAUAAGAAGGUGGCUCUGCAGCUCGACGGUCCACUUCCAUCCUCUUCUACUUUGUCCUUUCCUUCGUUGCUUUCAAAUUAGCGAAAUGCUUCUUUAUCAACUGUCAGACCUCCUGCGAGUAUUUUCUAUUGGAUGUAUGCCCUAAAAGCCAAUCUUGGCUGACAUAUUUCAUAUCUCUAGGACAUGAUUUUGUACUUAUUGGGUAGUUAUAUUACCAUUCAUGUUUNNNNNNNNNNNNNNNNNNNNAUGUAUCCAUGAAUCAUCCAAGGGAUUAACAAGAUAAUGACACAUAUUCUCGAAGAGUUGAGAAUUUAAGACAUGUGUCGUUAAUGAUUGAUUUCUAAAUUACUCCUAAUCAUAGGAUCAUCAUGGGGAUGAUAAUUGAUCCGGAUAGACCAGUAUCUGGAUCGCUUCUUUCGGAUAUAUGGGUCUCGAGUCUGCAGUGUAGAGACACUGAAGCGAGAGUGCAGAUAGUUGUUAGAGAACAACUAGCACUGAGCGUGACCAACACGAGAAGUCACAUGGAUGUCUGCUCACUCGAUAGUGACUUUCUCGAUGCUGCAGUUGUAUACUGAUCCUUUG
rnacentral:lncRNA from 1 species